UACGUAGGGUGCGAGCGUUGUCCGGAAUUAUUGGGCGUAAAGAGCUCGUAGGCGGUUUGUUGCGUCUAUCGUGAAAACCUGCAGCUUAACUGUGGGCUUGCGGUCGGAUACGGGCGGCUGAGUUCGGUAGGGGAGACUGGAAUUCCUGGUGUAGCGGUGAAAUGCGCAGAUAUCAGGAGGAACACCGGUGGCGAAGGCGGGUCUCUGGGCCUACUGACUACUGAGGAGCGAAAGCUGGGGAGCAAACAGGG
rnacentral:rRNA from 1 species